GUGCUCACUUUGGCAGCCUAUAUACUAAAAUUGGAGCGAUACAGAGAAGAUUAGCAUGGCCCCUGCACAAGGAUGACACACAAAUUUAUGAAGUGUCACAUAUUUUU
ensembl:snRNA U6 U6 spliceosomal RNA